AGCGGCGGACGGGUGAGUAAUGCCUAGGAAUCUGCCUGGUAGUGGGGGACAACGUCUCGAAAGGGACGCUAAUACCGCAUACGUCCUACGGGAGAAAGCAGGGGACCUUCGGGCCUUGCGCUAUCAGAUGAGCCUAGGUCGGAUUAGCUAGUUGGUGAGGUAAUGGCUCACCAAGGCGACGAUCCGUAACUGGUCUGAGAGGAUGAUCAGUCACACUGGAACUGAGACACGGUCCAGACUCCUACGGGAGGCAGCAGUGGGGAAUAUUGGACAAUGGGCGAAAGCCUGAUCCAGCCAUGCCGCGUGUGUGAAGAAGGUCUUCGGAUUGUAAAGCACUUUAAGUUGGGAGGAAGGGUUGUAGAUUAAUACUCUGCAAUUUUGACGUUACCGACAGAAUAAGCACCGGCUAACUCUGUGCCAGCAGCCGCGGUAAUACAGAGGGUGCAAGCGUUAAUCGGAAUUACUGGGCGUAAAGCGCGCGUAGGUGGUUUGUUAAGUUGAAUGUGAAAGCCCCGGGCUCAACCUGGGAACUGCAUCCAAACUGGCAAGCUAGAGUAGGGCAGAGGUGGUGGAAUUUCCUGUGUAGCGGUGAAAUGCGUAGAUAUAGGAAGGAACACCAGUGGCGAAGCGACCACCUGGGCUCAUACUGACACGUGAGUGCGAAAGCGUGGGGAGCAACAGGAUUAGAUACCCUGGUAGUCCACGCCGUAAACGAUGUCAACUAGCCGUUGGAAGCCUUGAGCUUUUAGUGGCGCAGCUAACGCAUUAAGUUGACCGCCUGGGGAGUACGGCCGCAAGGUUAAAACUCAAAUGAAUUGACGGGGGCCCGCACAAGCGGUGGAGCAUGUGGUUUAAUUCGAAGCAACGCGAAGAACCUUACCAGGCCUUGACAUCCAAUGAACUUUCCAGAGAUGGAUUGGUGCCUUCGGGAGCAUUGAGACAGGUGCUGCAUGGCUGUCGUCAGCUCGUGUCGUGAGAUGUUGGGUUAAGUCCCGCAACGAGCGCAACCCUUGUCCUUAGUUACCAGCACGUUAUGGUGGGCACUCUAAGGAGACUGCCGGUGACAAACCGGAGGAAGGUGGGGAUGACGUCAAGUCAUCAUGGCCCUUACGGCCUGGGCUACACACGUGCUACAAUGGUCGGUACAAAGGGUUGCCAAGCCGCGAGGUGGAGCUAAUCCCAUAAAACCGAUCGUAGUCCGGAUCGCAGUCUGCAACUCGACUGCGUGAAGUCGGAAUCGCUAGUAAUC
rnacentral:rRNA from 1 species